CAUAAGUAACGAUAAAGCGGGUGAAAAGCCCGCUCGCCGGAAGACCAAGGGUUCCUGUCCAACGUUAAUCGGGGCAGGGUGAGUCGACCCCUAAGGCGAGGCCGAAAGGCGUAGUCGAUGGGAAACAGGUUAAUAUUCCUGUACUUGGUGUUACUGCGAAGGGGGGACGGAGAAGGCUAUGUUGGCCGGGCGACGGUUGUCCCGGUUUAAGCGUGUAGGCUGGUUUUCCAGGCAAAUCCGGAAAAUCAAGGCUGAGGCGUGAUGACGAGGCACUACGGUGCUGAAGCGACAAAUGCCCUGCUUCCAGGAAAAGCCUCUAAGCAUCAGGUAACAUCAAAUCGUACCCCAAACCGACACAGGUGGUCAGGUAGAGAAUACCAAGGCGCUUGAGAGAACUCGGGUGAAGGAACUAGGCAAAAUGGUGCCGUAACUUCGGGAGAAGGCACGCUGAUAUGUAGGUGAAGCGACUUGCUCGUGGAGCUGAAAUCAGUCGAAGAUACCAGCUGGCUGCAACUGUUUAUUAAAAACACAGCACUGUGCAAACACGAAAGUGGACGUAUACGGUGUGACGCCUGCCCGGUGCCGGAAGGUUAAUUGAUGGGGUUAGCGGUAACGCGAAGCUCUUGAUCGAAGCCCCGGUAAACGGCGGCCGUAACUAUAACGGUCCUAAGGUAGCGAAAUUCCUUGUCGGGUAAGUUCCGACCUGCACGAAUGGCGUAAUGAUGGCCAGGCUGUCUCCACCCGAGACUCAGUGAAAUUGAACUCGCUGUGAAGAUGCAGUGUACCCGCGGCAAGACGGAAAGACCCCGUGAACCUUUACUAUAGCUUGACACUGAACAUUGAGCCUUGAUGUGUAGGAUAGGUGGGAGGCUUUGAAGUGUGGACGCCAGUCUGCAUGGAGCCGACCUUGAAAUACCACCCUUUAAUGUUUGAUGUUCUAACGUGGGCCCCUUACCGGGGUUGCGGACAGUGUCUGGUGGGUAGUUUGACUGGGGCGGUCUCCUCCUAAAGAGUAACGGAGGAGCACGAAGGUUGGCUAAUCCUGGUCGGACAUCAGGAGGUUAGUGCAAUGGCAUAAGCCAGCUUGACUGCGAGCGUGACGGCGCGAGCAGGUGCGAAAGCAGGUCAUAGUGAUCCGGUGGUUCUGAAUGGAAGGGCCAUCGCUCAACGGAUAAAAGGUACUCCGGGGAUAACAGGCUGAUACCGCCCAAGAGUUCAUAUCGACGGCGGUGUUUGGCACCUCGAUGUCGGCUCAUCACAUCCUGGGGCUGAAGUAGGUCCCAAGGGUAUGGCUGUUCGCCAUUUAAAGUGGUACGCGAGCUGGGUUUAGAACGUCGUGAGACAGUUCGGUCCCUAUCUGCCGUGGGCGCUGGAGAACUGAGGGGGGCUGCUCCUAGUACGAGAGGACCGGAGUGGACGCAUCACUGGUGUUCGGGUUGUCAUGCCAAUGGCACUGCCCGGUAGCUAAAUGCGGAAGAGAUAAGUGCUGAAAGCAUCUAAGCACGAAACUUGCCCCGAGAUGAGUUCUCCCUGACUCCUUGAGAGUCCUGAAGGAACGUUGAAGACGACGACGUUGAUAGGCCGGGUGUGUAAGCGCAGCGAUGCGUUGAGCUAACCGGUACUAAUGAACCGUGAGGCUUAACCUUACAACGCCGAAG
rnacentral:rRNA from 1 species